rnacentral:tRNA from 2 species
GCGGGAUUAGUACAGUGGCAGUACGACUCCCUUCCAAGGAGUAGACGCCAGUUCGAUUCUGGUAUCCCGCUCCA